CCCCAAGGGCAGAUGGCAAUCUAGGCCUGACAGCAGGCCACAGAGGCUUCUCUUUUAUUGUUUUCGCAUGACACAGUGUUUUGGGUGAAGUUAUCCCCAGGUUCAGACUAUAGUUUUGUAGCUGCUUUGUUGCAAGCAUGGCAGAUUGGGCUUGAGAAGAACGAGUGAAGCUCUGAGACAGUUGUGGGCAGAGAAAGUCCCAGAGUGGAGUGAGCAAGUCUGAGUGAGGAUGGAAGGAAUUGCAAUGGCACAAUAAAGACUGGUUAUUUUGAAGCAGUCUGCUGUGUUGUUUGGGACACUGACACCCUGACCUGUCCUCUUUAAGGCUAGGGGCAGACAUUACACAUAAAUUGGUUUAAGUGAUCAGAAACUGUUUUAAACCUGUAACAGAACAGUCAUUCAAUGCACAUAAACCAGUUUGAAAAUGACUGAAACCAGUUUGAGAUAAACCUGGUUGAAUGUAGUAUCAGACUUAACUGAUUUGGGUCAAACUGGUUUACGCAAUGUCUGUCCCAGAUCCUUUCCUGGUUUAAGCUGAACCAGACUCCCUCAGCAUCCCAGCAUGCUCUCUGGGCUGGGCGGGCCCAUCCCCUCUGCUCCCUGGCUGGAGCUCCAGCAGAGACUUGCAGGCACAGCAGAGUUUGCCCAGCUUCCCCAAGCCACUCUCACCACCCUUACUGCUUAAGUAGAGAUCCCUUCCUGCUCUUUCCCACAGCAUAGACCAUAGCCAGCAUGUGGUAUGCUAGCUAAUGCUGAGAGCUGUCACUGUAAAGCAGACAGGACAGUGUCUGUUUAGGGAUUUUUGGAACUAAUCAACAUGUCAGCUGGUAAUGUCCCUGCAUUUCUUCCUUUGAAAAAAGCUGUUUAAGAAAAGUUUGAUUUAAUGAGUGAGGCUUUGUAUUCUAAUGGGGUGCUAAAUGCUGAUAACAAAGCUGAUAAAUGCUCUGUUAUCAAGGGGAAAGGGAACCCCUCCCUAAUCGGAGCAUCUUGCAGGGGCCUGGCCUGGCUGAGGGGCCUGGCCACACACCCCUCAACUCAGCACUAUGGAAGGGAUGGGAGGGUUGCUCUAACACCCCCCGGCUUCUAGCAUGAGCUGCUGCACCUCAGUCCAGAGGUGAUGCCUGUAUGGCUACAAACAGGUUAGACUAACCUGCAAAGAUUGAAUCAAUUCAGGCUCAGGAUUUUUUAAUGUCUGUCCCUAGCCUAAAAGAAGAAAACAUUCCCUCCUUCCAGAAAGCUGACUGAUAAUUAGGAGCCCCCAGAGGUGGGGGUGCUAUGAAUCACUGGGAAAGCCAGAGACUGAUAAGAGCCAGGGUCUCAAAGCUAGAGGCUUGCCACUUGUGAAGCUAUGCUAGAGCUGGCUUCAGGGAGUCCUCUUAGGAGAGAGAGAGAGACCAAAUAAGGCUGCUUCUUGAGAGGGCUUUGAGGAGGAGCUUGUCCUGUUCCCCAUGAAAGGGGCAAUUUGAUCCUUUUUCAUGAUAAGCAACUAGAAGGCAAGGUAGAUAUGCACCUUAUAGACUAACUAAAUAAGAUAUAUAGAAAGCACAAGCUUUUGUGAACUUGAGCUCACUUCAUCAGAUACUGUGAAAGGACAAGCAUAGACAGUGUAUAAAGUGGAGCGAAUGUUUAGAGUAUCCAUCAUUGUAGAGCUUUACCUAAAGUUGCAGCCUACAGCUCCCUCGCAACCAACAGCUUUGCUACCUGGCUAUUAGGCUUUGAGCUUUGCUACCUGGCUAAGAGGAGCCCACCAUGGAGAAGAAGGAUUCUAAUUAGCCACUUAUCCCCUCCGUCUCAUUUGUUGUGCAUGUAUCGGUUUUGCAGGUCCUAUUGUUAGGCCCCAGCUCAAGUCUGGGUUCGUGCCCGGUAUGCAAAGGCCAAUAAAGAUACCAGGGGUGAAAGUAUAAAGAAGAUUUAUUGCUAGCAAUAAAAGGUGCAAGCGGAAUAAUCUUACAGAACAAGCACACUAGAUUUAAAAAAACUAAGCCCUUUUAUACAGGAGUUUCUAAACCUUCAUAAGCAUCCUUGUUUGCUAAUUGGCUAUAAAGGAGUGACGCAAGGAGUUCUUUACUGAGCCUGUGUUUUAGCUAUGUAUCUCAUUAACAUACAUACAUGUUUCAUUAGCAUAUUUUUUGCCCACCUAGGGGUGUGAUUUUUAGUAUUAUAAUGAGCCCUUUGGCCUAGUACUCUGAUUCUGCUUUUGUUUUCAAGCCUCCUUUAUCUAAGACUGUCUCCUCCUUAUCAUUGCAGAUGGGCAUUCAUCACAUAACAUUCACUUUUGCUUAGGCUUUGCAUAGUAGUUUCUAGGUCAAACCUCACACUAUCAAAUGGGACCUUAGUACAAGUUACUCCUAAAAUAAGGGCCAAUGAAUAGAAGUUCCUAAUAUAUUAAUAUAUACUAUGAACAAGAUAAUGUUUCCCUAUGUAUGCAAUGUAGUAUGCAAAUGACUGCUUAUUUCCUGGGUGCUGGUGGUUUCCACUUGGGGGAGCUGUAGAGUUAAAAAUAUUACAAAAUAAAUAAAUAAAUAAAUAAAAUAAAACAGUGAGAGAAGCAAUGUAGCAAAUAAGCAGCUUUUUGUCUGUGAGAGCAAUGAGCUGAACAUAAAACCCCAUAUCUGUUUGUGGCAGAGCACAGGGUGUGUCUGCCACUUUAAGGGCCUGGAGUUGGUGGCCUCCAGGUGCCUGAUGACGGCAGCCAUUUUGAGGCAGCGGCUGCCUAUAUAAACAGGGCAGUUUGGCUCCAGGAGGUCAGGUAGCAACAUUGCCUGGCCGUAGGGCUGCUGUGAACGACCCGGAGGUUGGCCAAUCUCCUCCAGCGGGCUUUAAAAUAGCUUCAUUGGGGGAAGGGGAAGAUGAGGAUGGAGGGAGCCACAGAACACCAAACCAAGAGCCAUCCACAAGAACAGCCCAGCCAAGACAGGUAACGAACACAAGGAAUACCCAGUGAUCGUGCACUUUGAAAAAAUGAAGGUUUUGUGAUGGGGUCGAAGCUUUACUCUUCCUGAAACUCACCAUUUAUGGACAGAAGAGCUGCACCAUGGACCACAUUUCAAACUCCGCUUACUUCUGUGACAAUGCAGACCGGGGAGAGCCAGGAUCUUAAGGUUAGCUUACGAAGGGAAAAUAUAUUGUCUUGCCUUACAUGGUACCUAAACUGUUUUAAAUAACAUUAAAUGAGAUUUAGUAUCUGCCUUAUCCUAUUGCAGACAAAGAUAGUCACAUUUUUUUAAAGUUUUGGCUGCUCAUGGCUGGUGAUUACCAUUUAUCUCUCUUAGGAUUAAUUAGAAUAUACUAAGAUUUACAAAACAUAGCUGUCCUUGCCUGUCCUUAAGGGCAAAGAAAACAUGCUAACUAACUUUACUAGAGAGAAGAGAGGACUGAGGGGGAUUUGAUUACAGUUUUCAGAUACCUGCAGGGAAAUUACAGAGAGGAUGGGUAUAGGCUUUUCUCUUUGACUAGAGGGAACAGGACUAGGAAUAGUGGUUUCCAGCUUCAGCAGGGUAAAUUUAGUUGGGAGAUUAGGAGGAACUUCCUGAAAGAUUACCUAGUGAAACUGUGUAAUCUCUGUCUCUGGAAAUUUUCAAGAUAGUUAGAUAGAUACUUGGUUGGGAUGGUUUAGUCAGGGAUGAUCCUGCCUUAAGCAGCUGGCUGGACUAGAUCACCUCUUAAAGUCCCUUCCAGCCCUACUUUCCUACAGACAAUUUUGUUAUUGAUGAUCUGUAAUCUUAUUACUGACAAACUUUUUUACUGGCAUACAUUUUACAUAAUAUAAAUGUAACUCUUCUGCCAGACCCUGGACAAGGGUGGGUUCAACUUGUCACCCUUGUCCAAAGCCUGAAAAAGAGUUACUUUUACAUUAUGUCAGUAAAAAUAAAUAUUGGGGUGGCAACCCUGUUUAAAUGCAGCAAGAGUUUUUACAUAGUGCUGUCCCUACCUCACAUUCACCCCCAUACCCUCAUGAUCCCCUACUCGCCCCCAUACUCUGGUGCUUCUAACCACGCUCUGCACCAUAUUGCCCCCCUCCAGCCUUAUCUUUGCCAGCCCCACCUCCCCAUCCCACCAUAGACCCCCAAAUAAGGACUACAGUCUGCCUACUUACCUACCAGUAGUGGUACAGGCAGGCCACAGGAUGCAACAAUAGGAGCAGCAGCAGCAUAUGACUGGUGAGGGAAUGGACUACAGGCUCCAAAACCCUGAGGGAAUGCUCCCUGCAGGGUGCUGUGCUCCUGUUCAGACACCAAGUAGUGCUCUUCUGCUCUGCCUGCCCUUCAGUAUGCAGCCUUGUUCAGAGAUUGAACUUCAGUCAAGCUUCCAGGUUAUUUAGUUUUUACAGAUAGCUCCAUUUGUUUAUGAACUUUAUGUCUGUAAAUGUUGGUGAAACAAUUUCCAUUUAAUUUCUCCAUGAGUUCUAUAUUGUCAUAUUCAAUUUGUUUGAUUAGCUUCAGAAAAAACUUAAGCAUUUGGUUAAUUUAUGGUCAAUUAAUUUAAGGUGUGGACAAUGCAAAAAAGAAAA